UGGAAAACUGUCCUCGGUGCCAGGAGCAGGAGCUCUGCCGUGGAUUCCUGGUUGCUAUCAGCUGCAGCUCAUGAAAAUAGAAUGCUCUUGCCCUGGAAUUUGGAGAACGCAGCAGGCAGGCAUAGCCUCAGAGACAUCAUGCAUUGAAGCAUAGCUGUUCAAGUUCAAAGCCUCGGGCCAGAUGGGAAACCAUGUGGUUUCUUCAGGAUUGAAUUACAACUGCUGGUUCACGUGUGGUGUCUGCCUGCUGAGAAGGCUGGACUACAGCUACCGGUGUUUCUCUGCCAUUCGGAGAUUC